CCGCAGAGCCCUGCAAUUUACACUCAUAUUCUCUAGAACACCUCCGACAGUGAAGGGUUUUCCUUUUCAUGUCUGCAUAUAUGUGAAGAUGCAUACGUUGUAACAAUCUAUCACUGAAUGCAUGACUAGCAAAUACAGCCUCAGAAGAAAGCAGUUUUUAAGACCCAUAAAUCCAACAUCCUUCCACAGUAUGAUCAUAUAUAUCAAAUAAAUUCUGAAAAGGAAGUUGUAUGCCAAGCAAAGUAGGAACAUCUAAUGCCCAGAUCAACAUCCAGUCCAAAAAAUGAUCGAAGCUAAUGAUCAUCUUUGCUUUCUGAGGGAACAUACAGAAGCUUCGUCUCCUGCGGCAGAUCGACCUCACUCGCUAGUGAAAACAACCAUACUAGGGAGCAGAUGUCAAGAAGGUUGAGGAAACAUAAAAGGGAAGGAGAAGAGGGAAGCAAGUUCUACAUGUACAAAUUGGUGCAGAUGGAGGGCCAGACUGCCAGAGGCUAGCUUCCUCCUGGCUCUCAACCAUCCUGACGCCGUCGACCACCUCCUUGACCCUCAUGACCCUGUACUUCCAUAUAACAUGCCGACUUCAUGGAGGAAAACCAAGAAGGAGGUGGCAGCGAGAAGAAAGUAAGAGAGGAAGGGAGAGGCAGGUGAUGUGCUCUCCUGCCACUGCACCACUACUUCACCAAGUGCCGUCUAAUGGCGGUGCUCUGUCUACGGGACAAGCGGCGAUGAACGUGCUCUGUCUGUGGGACGAGCGCCGCUGACGGCAGCGGUAGCUGCCAUCUGUAGAGAAAAAAAAGAAGGAAGAACCUACCUAGGCAACAAUCAUGGCUGCCGGCAGGGGAAGUGGAAGGGAUGUGAUUAGCAAAGCUGGAAGAAGAAGUACAAAUAGGGGAGCAGGGGGAAUUGAAGAACCUCAGGCAACUGGUGGAGGUUGAGGGACUAUCAUGGCAUUUAAACGCGGCAGUUUCGGUCUGGGUGCACCUGUCCACCUCCUGCGGGUGCCAUUGCGCGCCUGUCCACCUCUGACGGCUGCCUGGCUGCAGCGCACGGGAAUGGGGGCAUGGAGGCUGCCGGGCCGCAACGUACGAGGGUUGGGUGUCGGGAGGAGAAGUGAAGCAAGCGAGGAGGCGACACGACGAUGCAGGGCGAGGAUAAUGGACGGUAUCGGUAUCUGUCACGUGAAUGGGCCUCGUCACUGGCCCAGUUAACCAGCGGCGAUUUUCUCGUGGAGCAGCGUCCGGCCCAACCGGAGAAACACGGCCGCGAGGCCCAGGCACGUUGGACAGCCAGCUAUGGCCUAAAAAAUUGAUUGUAUGGUGGAUAUCGCUGAGGGGCUGAGAGGGCUGGGUGGUAGCUCCGUUUUGUUGUCUCUAAUGUACAAUGAUGUUGGUUUCCAAAUGAAGCAAGGUUUCACUAGCAGAAUUAACCCUUGAACCAGCUGGGUUGCUGGAUUGUUUUGUGUGAAGGAUUUUGAAUUGUCAGUGGUUGAGUUAUAGUUGUUAGUCGAUACUAUAUUCACUGAUGGAUUAUUUAUGCUGGCCAUGAUUUCUCUCUUGUCCAUUCUCAGUGUUGAUUUUCAUUUUACCAUUGACUAGUGAUCAUGGCCUUUGUAUCUUGUAUGUGCAUUUCAGAUGAUACAACCUGCUAUAAGAUCAGUUAACCCUCUA